GGUGCUCAGCAAAAGGCAUCUUCGUUGUUGCAAUGAAAAUUCUUUUUUGCGAUACAGAAUCCGGAGGCUGCUCUGGAUUGAAACCCGGGGCUGACUGCUCCCUUCCGGUGAUGUGGCACCGCUUGGCUACUUGCCAAGGACUUUCCCUAAACGACAAGCAAAAGUGAAGCCAAGACAGAAGAGGACGCCUUUUCGGAGUGUCAACGUGCAAGACCUGGGCCGCUGUGGAAGGACGCGUCCUACAAUGGAGCUCUCGUGGCGUGAACCUGGAGAUAGCCACUGUGUGGGCGUGGUCAGCUGUGUCCACUCUUGAGCUCGGACUUUGAAAGUCAGUCUCAGCCCAGACAGCCUUUCCAGAACUUAGUUUUCAACUACUUCAGAGUGUUUUCUUUCGUUCUCCUCUCUUCUAUGGAAAUUGGUCUUCUGCUAUCAUCAAAUCAGAUGAAAAUGAAGCCUGUGCCUAAGGAUGAUGGUUUACUCGUUGCUGAAGGUGUGUUUGGUACCACGCAGGAAGCAGAAACGUUCUUUGGAUCAAACAGUAUUCUUAUGACAAAUCUUCUUUUACGAAUCCAAGCUUCCAGCGAGUGAACAAAAGUGCAACAAUCGUCCCCUUGGUGGGGGUUCCUCCGCGGACCGCUGGCGGGGGCCGCGAGAAACCAAUUAAAUCAUACAGCCAGCUAAGUUUUCUGUGUCAGAAGGUGAAAGAUCUGACAUUAUUGUGGACGUUGUAGAUAAUUUGGUUAAGAAGUUUAUUGCUAUCAAAUAUAUGGUGAUGG